rnacentral:rRNA from 1 species
UGCCUUUAGGUUCGGAAUAACUCAGGGAAACUUGUGCUAAUACCGAAUGUGCCCUUCGGGGGAAAGAUUUAUCGCCUUUAGAGCGGCCCGCGUCUGAUUAGCUAGGUUGGUGAGGUAAAGGGCUCACCAAGGCGACGAUCAGUAGCUGGUCCUGAGAGGAUGAUCAGCCACAUUGGGACUGAGACACGGCCCAAACUCCUACGGGAGGCAGCAGUGGGGAAUCUUGCGCAAUGGGCGAAAGCCUGACGCAGCCAUGCCGCGUGAAUGAUGAAGGUCUUAGGAUUGUAAAAUUCUUUCACCGGGGACGAUAAUGACGGUACCCGGAGAAGAAGCCCGGCUAACUUCGUG